UGCCGGCUGAGCCGUGCAGCGGUGCGCCCAGCUCCGAGCCACCUAACCAAAGUGCACCGGUCCAAAAGAGCACACCACGUUAGCAGGCAGAAAGGUGCCGAACAAAAGGCUUGGGCACAGCGCUGUGACUAAUAGUUCCACGCAGCUGGGACGGAUCCGCCGGCCUGCCUGCAGCCUGCCUUCCACCAGAACAACCGCAGCAACGGCGCCCAACUCCAAGGUUUAUGGCGAGUCCUCGGUGAUGUGAGGUGCGCUUGGCGUGGAAGAUGACGUGAAAUUGCUAAAGAUACCUUGAAAUGAUAAUAAAAAAAUAAAAAGCGUGGGUUCUGUU